rnacentral:rRNA from 1 species
GACGAACGCUGGCGGCGUGCUUAACACAUGCCAGUCGAACGGAAAGGCCCUGCUUUUGUGGGGUGCUCGAGUGGCGAACGGGUGAGUAACACGUGAGUAACCUGCCCUUGACUUUGGGCUACCUUCAGGAACCUGGGGCUAAUACCGGAUAGGAGCUCCUGCUGCAUGGUGGGGUUUGGAAAGUUACGGCGGUUGGGGAUGGGCUUGGCGCUUCGUUGCUUGUUGGGGGGGGUGUGGCUUACCAAGGCUUUGGCGGGUAGCCGGCCUGGGGGGGGGACCGGCCACAUUGGGACUGAGAUACGGCCCAGACUCCUACGGGAGGCAGCAGUGGGGAAUAUUGCACAAUGGGCGGAAGCCUGAUGCAGCAACGCCGCGUGCGGGAUGACGGCCUUCGGGUUGUAAACCGCUUUCGCCUGUGACGAAGCGUGAGUGACGGUAAUGGGUAAAGAAGCACCGGCUAACUACGUG